GACGAAGGGGGCUAGCGUUGUUCGGAAUUACUGGGCGUAAAGCGCGUGUAGGCGGUUGUCCAAGUUGGAUGUGAAAGCCUUGAGCUCAACUCAAGAAAUGCAUUCAGGACUGGAUGACUAGAGGACCGGAGAGGAUAGUGGAAUUCCCAGUGUAGUGGUGAAAUACGUAGAGAUUGGGAAGAACACCAGUGGCGAAGGCGGCUAUCUGGACGGUUUCUGACGCUAAGACGCGAAAGCGUGGGGAGCAAACA
rnacentral:rRNA from 1 species